ensembl:rRNA 5S_rRNA 5S ribosomal RNA
GCCGGCAGCUAGAUCUCGGUGACUCUCACAUGGUCGCCUGCUGAAGCUAAGCAGGGCUGUGCCCGGUCAGUACCUGGAUGGGAGACCACAUGGGAAUGCUAGGCUGCUGUUGGCA